rnacentral:rRNA from 1 species
UACGUAGGGGGCAAGCGUUGUCCGGAAUCAUUGGGCGUAAAGCGCGUGUAGGCGGCCCGGUAAGUCCGCUGUGAAAGUCCAGGGCUCAACCCUGGGAUGCCGGUGGAUACUGUCGGGCUCGAGUCCGGAAGAGGAGUGUGGAAUUCCUGGUGUAGCGGUGAAAUGCGCAGAUAUCAGGAGGAACACCAAUGGCGAAGGCAGCUCUCUGGGACGGUACUGACGCUGAGACGCGAAAGCGUGGGGAGCGAACAGG